rnacentral:rRNA from 1 species
AUUGGACCUGAUAUCAGUAUGAUAGCCAGUUUUC